AUGGACUGCCUUUUAGACAUUAAGUCUUACAUUGUUCCCAGUGAUAUUUACAUAGAGAAAACCUUAGUGACUCAGUGCCUACUGCUAUGUUUCCUGUUUGUCAUUAAAAAUUAUAUGUAAGGCAAGACAAAACCGGCAGAAGGCUGGGAGAAGAAUGUCAAGUCUCCCUCUCUCAGGCUCUGGGCCCCUUAGGUCCCCCUUCCAGUUACUGGGCACCUGAUGAGAUGUGCAAGUUCAGGGACUCUGGAGACGCUCAGAGUGUGAACACCUGCAGUCGGGCCAGCUAGGCCAGGUUAACACCUGCAGCUAAUUGGGUGUUAGACUGGGCUAACACAGCUUCCUAGAUUUCUCAUAGUUGCUCACAGUAAGAUAUAGAUGAAGGGUUGCCUCCGGAGAGAAUCGAUAGAAUCCUCUGGAGCCUCAGAAACCUCCGGGGCUGGAGCCCUGCCUUAACCAUGGAGGUCUGAAGUCUCCAGACAGGCCUCCCUUCCUGUCUGCACUCUUCCUGAGUUUUUGACCAAGUGUCCCCUACUCCAGGCUCCUUCCUCCUAGUAGCUCUGAUCAGUACUGUUGAUAAUGGCUCCUGCCGAAGAGGAAACGCCUUUGCUGGGAGUCAGAGUCACACUGUGAACCUGGUGUAGUAACAUUGCCAGUGCCCUGGGCAUCCCUGUGGCUUUCUACCCAUUUUUCCAGUGCCCAGUCUAGGAGGCUUCUGGGAGGAAUUUCUGUAAGUGCUAGACUUGUCCCUGUUGAGAUAUCUGAAAUUACCCAGAUAUGGGCAGUGCUCAGUAGCAUUGCAAAUGUCCUUAUGCUGGCUAGUUUGCUGUCUGCUCCACCCAAGGUAAAGUUGUCCUAGAGAAGGGACCUCAAUCAGGAAAAUGCCUCUGUAAGAUCAGGCUGUGGGCAAAGCCCGUAUUGCGCUUUCUUAAUUAGUGAUUGAUGGGAGAGCCCAGCUCAUUGUGGGUGGUGCCAUCCCUGGGCUGGUGAUUCUAAGUUCUGUAUAAGAAAGCAGGGUGAGCAAGCCAUGAGGAGCAAGCCAGUAAGCAUUCCUCCGUGAUGUCUGCAUUAGCUCCUGCCUCUACGUUCCAGCCCUGUUUGAGUUCCUUUCCUGACUUCCUUUGGUGAUGAACAGUGAUAUGGAAGUGUAAGCCUAAUAAACCCUUACCUUCAUAAGUUAUGUUCAUCAUGGCGUUUCAUGGAAUCAGUAGAAACCCUGCUAAAACAGUCCUCUGUCAGUCAUCCAAUCACUACCCCUAUUUCCCUAUUUUACUUUACCUUUUAACGUGCAGAUUUUUAAAAAAGUUUUGUUUGUUUGUCUUUGUGGAUAUUUAUUUCCUGUGUAUGAAUGUUUUGCCUGCAUAGGUGUAUAUGCACCCUGUGUAUGCAGUACCUUCAGAGGCCAGAAAAGGGUGUCAGAGUUCCUGGAACUGUGGUAAAAGACAGUUGUGAGCUGCCGUGUGGUGCUGGAAACUGAACCUGGGUCCCUUGCAAGAUCAACAGCGAGUGCUCUUAACCACUGGGAAAUCUUUCCAGCCCCAAGAUGUGGAAAAGGAAUUACGCCGAGGCAGCGGAGAACACAGUUCGAGGCUAUUUACAGUAGGGAAUGUGGUUACCUUGAAAAAAUCCGGUCAACCAGUCUCUCCUGCUGCUCUGUCAUCUUGCAGGAAAGAAUUCCUAGCAUAUACCUGGAAUGCGCUUCUCAUCCAACACCAGCUUUGCUCUAAAUGAUAAGGACUCAUUUGACUAUGUGUUAAAAAGUACUUCUUUUUCUGUCGUGUGUGGGUUUGAAUUCAGGGACUCAUGCAAGGUAGACAUGUGCUCUACCUCCCAGGCAAUUCCACUUCCGAACUCCCCCACCCUCUAUUUUCUUUUUUUUUUAAAUAAAGAUGUUUAAUUAUGGUAAUGUGCACACAGC
ensembl:sense_intronic Gm20705 predicted gene 20705